GUUGCUGUCACCUGUGCAUCCUGGGGAAAGGCGGCUCUUCCUCAUCAUCACCACGGUGACUGUUCCCGGUGUGCCCCCGGUACCCCGCCGUGGGUGGCAGUAACGGUCACCCUUCAGUGGAGCUGCGUCUGCAUCCAAGGCCGCACGGCUCACCCCCCGGGGUCCCGUCGGCCUCCCCGCGGCGUUCUCACAGAGCCCUCGCCGCGCUGCUGUUGCUUUGCCGCUGUGAUGACCCACCGCUCGCUUCCUGACCUGACACAGCGCACGACGGUCACCCUGUGUCUCUGUGGGUGGGAGCCCGCGUGGCUCUGGCGGAGCCGAAGCCAGGGUCUCGCUGGCCGGGUCCUCUCUGCAGGACCCAGGGUCAGGUCUGCGUUGCUAACUCCGACGGCUGCCGGAGCUGCGCUCCCUGCGGUGGCGGGACCCAGGGCCCUUCUUGGUGCUGUCGGGAGAGCUGAGACCACCCCAGGCGGGAAGCUGACGGGGACCGCCCCCACCCACCGGACUUUCCAGCGGAGCCCGGCGCGCCCCAGCCCCACCGACAGCUGCGGGCCCCUCGAGUACUGGUCCCCAGGCCACUGCUGCCUGCUCUGCCCCACGGGGGAGCAUGUCCGUGAACCCUGCAGCCGCCCCCACACCCGGGGACAGUGCGACAAGUGUGACCCAGGCACGUUCACCGAGUUCCCCAAAGGCCUGGAGUCCUGCCUGCUGUGUGGCACCUGCCGCGAGGUCCGAGCGCAGACAGGUGGUUUUCUCGGGAGCUGUUUCAUGUUCCCCCGGUUUGUCUGGGCAUCAUCAUCAUCAUCAUCAUUGCCAACGUCAAGACGCCAAAAGUCUCGGAGGAUUCCAGCCCGUGUGCAGCUGGCUCCCCAGCGGGGCGCGCUCCGAGUCGGAGCCCCUGGAGGAGAGGGAGUGACAGCCCGGGCUGGGGGCGGUCCGGGCGCGGCGGGAGGACAGGGCGGGGCCUCUGUCGGUCCUCUCGGUCCCCCUCCCCCACCCGGAGCCACCCGAAGGGAAACUGCCAGGCAGCCAUCACGGUGCUUCUCUGCUGAGCCAGUCUCCUGGGCUCAGGGUCGAUCGGCCCCUCGGCCGUCUGAACGGGUUCUCCGUCAGCAGAGACUAGGACCUGGACAGUGUCACCGAGUGCAGCCCCUGCGAACUGGCUCCUUCACACCGCUCAUCGCAACCCGGAGAUUGCCUGCCUGCCGGGUGCCGAGUGCCAGGAGGGUGGUCCCUGCUGCCCAGCCCCUGCUGGCCUCUCUCUGUGCACAGCAGGUCAGGAUGGGGAGGUGCCUGUUGCCCCGACUGCCUGCCCUCCCUGUGUGCCUCGCCGUGGUCCAGCUGCUCAGCCCCUGCUCAGGUGAGUUUGCUGUGGUCGGACCCCCCGAGCCCAUCCUGGCCAUGGUGGGUGAAGACGCAGACCUGCCCUGUCACCUGUCCCCGAAGAUGAGCGCUGAGACCCUGCAGCUGAUGUGGGAGCGACCCGGCCGCAGGCAGGUAGUGCACGUGUACGCACACGGGCAGGAGGACACGCCGGCAGAGGAGUUUCGAGGGAGAACUUCGAUUAUAAGAGAGGACGUCACUGCGGGGAAGGCCGCUCUCCGGAUUCACAAUGUCAGGGUCUCAGACAACGGAACCUACCUGUGUUAUUUCCAAGAUGGAGACUUCUAUGCAAAAGCCCAGGUGGAGCUGCAGGUGGCAGCGCUGGGCUCUGAUCCCCACAUUGACAUGAAGGGCUACGAGGCUGGAGGGAUCCGUGUGAACUGCACGUCUGCCGGCUGGUACCCGCAGCCCCAGAUCCAGUGGAGAGACGCCAGAGGGACAGAGCUUGUCCUCGGAGGUAGCAUCUGCGGCUGCAGACCCCCAGGGCCUUUAUGCAGCCUCAGCCUCUGUGAUCCUGGAAGGCGGCUCUGGGGAGGGGGUCUCCUGUGUCAUCAGAAACCCCCUGCUGGGCCCGGAGAUGUCAGCCAGGCUUUCCAUGGCAGGUGCCUUCUUCAGGGACACACAGCCUUGGAAGGUGGCCUUCAUCGUGACCCUGUUGCUGCUGCUCCUUGCGGGGCUCCCGUUCGGUGUGUGGUACUUGCUGUGGCCAUGGCGGAAGAGGACCAGGCCGCGUCCCAGGAGGAGGGGAGAGUAGGAGCUGAGAGAGAAGCAGCGCGGGCAGAGCUGCGGCGGCAGUGAAGCGCCCAAGGGGGGACAAGGACCUGGUAUCGACCAAGUCAGCUGCCCUGGACCUGCAUCUCAGCCUCUCUGAUCGCCACGAACAGGAUCUACUUUGGAUUCGGGCAGGAGGUUCCCAAAUCUAGCUGGAGGAGGUUCAUGAGGUUCGCGGGACUGGAGGAGAACGACCUUGUCAUCUGUGAGCACGAGGACCCGGGGACCCUGGCGGAGCAGCACCACAGGAUGCUGCCGCGCUGGCAGAGCGAGCUGGGGCGCGCCGCGUCCCCCUGCGGGCUCGUGGCGGCCCUCCGUGAGAUGCGGCUGCGGGAGCGUCUGGAGAAUGUUACCAACGAGCUGGUGCGGAAGGUGUCUUAGGUCGUGAGGACGCAGAGCCCCGAACUGGAGUCAGCUCUUCCAGCAACGACUGGGACUUAGCAGCAUCCUGGGUGCUGACCUUCCCCAGGUCCCUUCCCGUGGGCGCCUUCACAGAUCCCAGGUGGGACGGAGCCCCUUCCGUGUCCAAGGAGCUUCUUCGGGAAGCUUCCGACGGGGAGGACCAUGCAAGGUAGGGUACCCUCUGCCUGCAGCCCAUGUGGCCUACAGGCUGCCCCUCGGGGGACCCUGAGCUGCUUGGAAAGGGACCCACUGGCUGUGCUCGGUGGGCCCACGAGCUAUGGCCUCCUCCAGAAACAGAGGCCAGGAGGGCUGGCUGGUCACGCGUGUGACCCCAGCAGCUCACUCCUUGGUUUCCCAGGCACUGCGAUGUCCCCCGGCUUCUACUUGGGAGCGCCAUACCUGGGUGACACAAGUCAGUCCAUGACAGAUAAACUAGUGGCCACUCAGCUGUCACUAGGUUAGCUGGGGUGGGGCAUGGGGACAGUCUCAUGCCAGGUUUAAAUGCCUUUGUACAGUUCUCUAGACAAUUCAGCAUAUGUGCUCUUCCAGUUUUCUUUAUGUGUUAACAUUUCUCUUACAUAGUGUGUUCACGUGUUUGUACAUAUUUUUUUACCCAGUAAAAUUUAUAUAUUUUUUUA